rnacentral:tRNA from 1 species
GCAGUGGUGGUUCAGCAGUAGAGUUCUCGCCUUCCACCUGGGAGACCCAGGUUUGAUUCCCGGUCAAUGCA